UUUUUUGGAGAGUUUGAUCCUGGCUCAGGACGAACGCUGGCGGCGUGCCUAAUACAUGCAAGUUGAGCGGACUUUUAAAAGCUUGCUUUUAAAAGUUAGCGGCGGACGGGUGAGUAACACGUGGGUAACCUGCCUGUAAGA
rnacentral:rRNA from 1 species